AUCAUGCCUUAUCUUCCAAAUUGGAAACCACUGGUCCAAGGUUUACAGCAUUCAUCUGGAGGAAGAUGACCAAAAGUUGAGUUUCCCAGCAGGUAGAAGACAGGAUAGUUCUGGAGGCUCAACCCUACCUUACUUGCAGAACAGCUUGGAGGAGUCCAGAGUUGCUGGCUGGCCUAUGGAGCAGAUCCAGUUGAUCUUUCUGUUGAACAAGGUGAUCCACCCAGACCUAGCAGCUGUGCCUUGCUGUGAUUCACACGGAGAGGAAUGUGGUGAUAAAUAGGAUUUUUCAAGUCGGAAGCAGCAACUUGACACUACGGAGCGCUGGCACCGAUGACAUCUUUCAACAUGGAAGCUCUUCAUCCCCAAGGUGGAGAAAUGGUAGCAAGGAGUAUUCUGAUCCAGCGAGUUCACCACGGCUUUGGAGAAAGGCUUCUGAAGUGAGCAAUUGUAGAUGGCCCUGAGUGUGCAUAAGCCCCAGACCACUCAGUUUUUGGUGACACUCAAUAUCUCUAUGGACCUAUACAGUAAAGAAUACUGCUAUAACCAACAACAUACAUUUCUCUUUGGUUUCUUCACUUUUAUGUCAUGAGGGGAAUAAAAAUCAACACAACUACAA